UAUAAAUCAAGACAAUUCUUAGAUUCCAGACAACUUACGAUUUCUAGAUAAAGGCAUUGUCAAGAUAAAGUCUCAGAUUUAGGGAUUUUAAGUCAGUUACAAAAGUCUCACAGUAUAGACAAAUAUUAUAUAUGUAACUCGACAAUUAUGAAACGAACUCACCAAAAUCCCUUAUUAGGGUUUCAAAAAAUAAACGAAAUCAACUGAACCAGUGCAAGAAACCUUCGAGACUACCAACACCGGCACCAAGAACCCCCGUCUCGAGCUCUGAUACCACUAUUACGAGAAGUUCAAGAAAUCAGCCCACUUAAGUCAACAAAAAUAACGAAAAAUCACAAAAAACUGAAAACUGAAAAAUGUAAAAACACAAUGAAGAACACGGUAUUUUCGGCCUAAGGCAAGAGGUUCGGAACUUCGUUCCUAAUCCCCUUUUGAGCUUCCGUCAAACGGAAGAAAUCACUAUAUCAAUGGAAUCAACGAAUCUGUCCAGUACAAUCUUUUGGCACCCAGCAGAAAAUCACACAAAAUUUUCCCCAAAAUUAAGCCUCACAAAUCGACAACAUUCACUCAAGAAUGAUGAAUCGAAGCCUAUACAAUAAUCACUCAAGAUUAUUUCAACAUAAGCGUCUAUACAUUCGACGAUGGCACAUUCACUCAAGAAUAACACCAAUACACCUUGUUAAAUCACUCAAGAUUAUCUACACAAGGUUGGAUUAAUUUCUCAUCAACAGGGGCUAAUUUUUGGUGUGCAAAAAUUGAUAGAUUGAAGGACCACCGAGAGAGGAGAGAUGAGAGGCAGAGAGGAACUCG
rnacentral:lncRNA from 1 species